CAGAGCCAGGCUCAUAGAUGGGGCUCAGAAAAUACUUGUAUGGGUUCCCCCACCAGACUGUGAACCCUCGGAGCUCUGGGCCUAUAUGUCUCCUAACUCGGGACCUCGAGCAAGAGGGGCACAUUGCCAGCAAGCGCUGCUGAAUGUCGUAUUCCAGAUCAGUAAAUUCAUGCAGUUGUUCGACGCAUGAACUGCUCUCCACCUCUUUGGCCUGCCCCUUUGGAAGAAAGAAGACAGUGCAGAGAGAGCACAGGGGUGAGGGGAAGACGCUCCUAGGGUCUGUGAUGGGUCCGCGGGGCUGAAUGUACUGCCUCUCUGCUCCUCAUCUACUGUGUGACCUUGAGACAGACGCUAACCCCUCUGAGCCACACAGUUCAUUCAUUUGUGAAACAGGAUUACGGGAUCUGGAUUACCACCUCACGGGAUUGUUGAGGUUCAAGCCCUAACACAUAAAGCUUAUGCAUUAGGACCUCCAGGAAGGAACCUUAGGAAUCACUGAGUUUGGCUCCUUCAUUACACAGCUGAAGAAACUCAAGUAGACAGAGGAUCUAUCCCUGGAUCCAGAGUCAGAUACUUACUAGGUGGUUAAUAAAUAUUCUGUAAAUGAGUUGAGUGACCA